UACGUAGGGGGCAAGCGUUGUCCGGAUUUAUUGGGCGUAAAGAGCGUGUAGGCGGCCAUGCAGGUCAGCUGUGAAAACUCGAGGCUCAACCUCGAGACGUCGGUUGAAACCGUAUGGCUAGAGUCCGGAAGAGGAGAGUGGAAUUCCCGGUGUAGCGGUGAAAUGCGCAGAUAUCGGGAAGAACACCUGUGGCGAAAGCGGCGCACUGGACCAUAACUGACGCUGAGGCGCGAAAGCUAGGGGAGCAAACAGG
rnacentral:rRNA from 1 species